CGCAAUGGGCGAAAGCCUGACGCAGCGACGCCGCGUGCGGGAAGAAGGCCUUCGGGUUGUAAACCGCUUUCAGGGAGGGACGAAGCCACUCGGGGUUAAUAGCCCAGAGGGUGACGGUACCUCCAGAAGAAGCCCCGGCUAACUACGUGCCAGCAGCCGCGGUAAUACGUAGGGGGCAAGCGUUGUCCGGAUUUAUUGGGCGUAAAGAGCGUGUAGGCGGUCAGGUAGGUCGGUUGUGAAAACUGGAGGCUCAACCUUCAGAGGUCGACCGAAACCCCCUGGCUAGAGUCCGGGAGAGGAGAGUGGAAAUUCCUGGUGUAGCGGUGAAAUGCGCAGAUAUCAGGAAGAACACCCGUGGCGAAAGGCGGCUCUCUGGAACGGUACUGACGCUGAGACGCGAAAGCGUGGGGAGCGAACAGGAUUAGAUACCCUGGUAGUCCACGCCGUAAACGAUGGGCGCUAGGUGUGGGAGGUGUCGACUCCUUCCGUGCCGAAGCUAACGCAUUAAGCGCCCCGCCGUGGGGAGUACGGCCGCAAGGACUA
rnacentral:rRNA from 1 species